rnacentral:rRNA from 1 species
UACGUAGGGGGCAAGCGUUGUCCGGAAUUAUUGGGCGUAAAGCGCACGCAGGCGGUUCGCCAAGUUCGUUGUGACAAUCACCGGCUUAACCGGUGAACGACUUCGAAAACUGGUGGACUUGAGAGCGAGAGAGGGACCUGGAACUCCGGGUGGAGCAGUGAAAUGCGUAGAGAUCCGGAAGAACACCAAUGGCGAAGGCAGGGUCCUGGCUUGUUUCUGAGCGCUGAGGUGUCGAAAGCCAGGGGAGCGAACGGG